AAACAUCAAAGAUCCUCAAACAACUCAAAAAAUGGUUCUCUGGAUUUACUGAGAGGGUCGACCCAAGAAGAAGUUGAGUCGACCCAAGUAAACCUUGAGUCGACCCAAAGAAAGGUUGAGUCGACCCAAGUAAAGAAAGGCUGAAAUUCAAGAUUCUGAAUUUUCUGAAAGUUGGAUCGACCCAAGAAAAGUUUGAGCUGACCCAAGGUUUGAGUCGACCCAAGAAAAGUUUGAGCUGACCCAAG
rnacentral:lncRNA from 1 species